UACGGGGGGGGCAAGCGUUGUUCGGAAUUACUGGGCGUAAAGGGCUCGUAGGUGGCCAACUAAGUCAGACGUGAAAUCCCUCGGCUUAACCGGGGAACUGCGUCUGAUACUGGAUGGCUUGAGUUUGGGAGAGGGACGCGGAAUUCCAGGUGUAGCGGUGAAAUGCGUAGAGAUGUGGAGGAACACCAGUGGCGAAGGCGACUCUUUGGCCUGUAACUGACGCUGAGGCGCGAAAGCGUGGGGAGCAAACAGG
rnacentral:rRNA from 1 species